CCCAAGUCUUAAGCCUAGAGGAUAGUAUAGAAGACUUUGGUAAUGGUUUGCAAUCAAUUCAUCAUUGAUUUCAACAUUAAAUUAGUCAACGUUUGAGCUCCAUUAGAUUCUAUUGAUUCCGCUGCUUGAUUAUGUAAUCUUUAAAGGAGCUGAAAAUAUAACUUCACGAGAUAAAAUUCACUCAUAAUCAUAUAGGGUAAAUAGAUGAUUAGUUCAAAUGUUGAUUUCAUGAGUCCCCACCCUCUGACUAACCCGAGAGAGACAAGAGGGACUUGGUUUAUGGUUAAUUAGACCAUAAAUAAAUUGUUUAUUAGUCUAGAAUAUCAAUGAAACUUAAGAAAAAGAAAAAAAUUACAAAAUAAAAAAAGGACAUUUGACCCAACGAUAAUUUUAGAUAUAAAUUGAUUGCUAUCACUAUCUAUCUCAAAUAGAUAAAUGAUAAAUCUAAAUGAUCGUGUAUCAUAAUCGUUUUGAUUUGGUCCAAGAUCAUUUAGAAAAUAAGUAUAUCAAUAUCUAAACGAUCAUUCGUCUAUCUCAGAUAGACAAAGAUAAAUCACUAUCAUUGUCUAUCCCAAAAAGAUAAAUGGUAGAUUUAAACGAUCGUUAAUCAAUGUCUAAACAAACUUUUAGACUAUAUUAUACGAUCGUUUAAAUUAAAAGCUUAUUGUGUUUUGUAAAUAUUUAUACGUUUUAUUUUAGUUUAGAAAAACCGGGUAAGUAUAUAAUAAAUAAAAAUGAAUUAUGUGGACGCACAUUUAGGAAAUAUAAAAUAAUAUUAUUGAGUAUUGGAGGAAAAUAGUUGGGUGAAAGUAGGGACAAAGUAACACCUCUAUGACUUUGGUUUGUUGAGUAUUGAAGUCAGAACAAUUAAAGCGAGUUGGAGGAUUUUGAAUGAUUUCUUAAAUACACAAACUAAAAUUUAUAUUUUAAUCUUUCAUAGGGAUGGAUAUAUAAAUUCCAAAUAUCUUUCUUUCAUCAUUGUUUUGACUUCUUCCAUCACCUUUUUCUUUUCUUUUACUUCUAACAACAUAUUUCCUCUUUAUUUAUUUACAUUUUCUUUACCUACAACACUUGUUCUUCUCAAUAUUCCAAAACCAAAACCUAUAUUUCUUUGUUUUUAUUCACUUUAUUUUUGAAAAAAAAAAAUGAAAAAAUGUAAAUAAUAAAUCAUGUUUUUAGAUUAAUUUUCAAUAUCAAAUAGUUACAAAAUGAGAUAAUUAUCUAUUUGUUAUCAAAUAUUUUAGAAGUAUUUACAAUCUCAUGAAACUAAAACUUAAUACAUAAACAACUAACUAUAACAAACAAAGUUAAUAAUUAUGGAUAUUUUGGAGAUAUUAAAAUUUAACAUUUUCCAUGACUACUUCUUGUAUGUUUAGAUUGAUGAAAACAUGGUUAAACUUAAUUUCAAACAUGAUCUCUAAUUUCUUUAAUUUUUUUUUAUGUCUAAUUGAUCAAAUACAAAAUUAAAAAUUUUGAAAGCUGAAGAGAUAGCAUUUAUAAUUAUGAAAAUGGAGAGAGGAAAUAAAAGAAAGAAAAAAACAUAAAUCUCAUAUACACAAAAGAAAUGUUAUGUGACCGAACAAUUUUACUUUACUCAACCAAUACUCCCGUAGUUGAUACCUUGAUGGGACUCUUUAUUGUUUCUUUCUAUUGACGCCUUAUAUGAAAAGCUAUAUAUAUCUUUGUUAUAUGUUUGUGUAUUUUUUUUCUUUUUAAAUAAAAGUUUGAUCAUAAAAAAAUGGAUUGAUUAUAUUCCAUGAGUAUCCUUGGUUAGUUUUGGGACAACAAAGUUGACCUGUCAUACUCAACCAUUUGGAUGUGAAUGCAACCCCUUGAACCAUCAACUACGCCUUACUAUUUGUUAUACCAUAUGAAAUCUUCUUCUUUUGCUUUCUUUUUCAUUUGAACCUUGAAUAUAAAAUCAAUCCAGUGUGACAUAAGAGUUUCGUAAGUAUUUCAGAUUUUGAUUACAUAAACAAUCCUUCCCUUUCUACUUUCAAAUUUACUUUAUUUUGAUUUCUAAUCUCCCAGGGUCCACAAGGACCUCGUGGCCCACAAAAGAAGAAGAGAAAAAAGAAUCAUCAAUUAUAUAUCCAACCACUAAACAACUCUUCACACCUUACAAAAUUUUCAUAUUUGAAAACUUAAAACAAUUCCAUCUCUAGAAAAGUUCAUCUUAACUAAACUUGUGAGAAAACAAAACAGUGAAGUUUUGUUUUUCAUCUAGUAGCUUAAAAUCACGUUUCUAUUUGUAUACUCAAAGCUUUCGUUAUUGACUAGACAAAACUAAAAUAAAAGUGAGAAUCAACGUAGUAAAUAUAAGCUAAAACGAGUUUAGUUGAAUGAUAAUUGAACAGAUCGCUUCCCACGAGAUUCGAGAUUGAAAGUAGAAUGUUUAGAAAUUGAGAGAGCAGGGAAUGAGGAAAAUCUUCAAUACUAAAUAGGAGUUUAAAAAGGGUGUAAUUCUUGGUUAGAUUCAACAAAAGAAUGCGCAGUAAAGCAAAGGAUAUUAGUUGUAGUGUACUUUUGACAAUAAGAAAAUGGGUUACACACACAGCUCCCUCUUUUAAGAUUUAAUUUGGUAGUUAUUGCUAACAAUAUAUCAUUUCAGAGGAUUGACUUUGACUCUUCAACUCUUUUUGCAAAAGAGAACAUAUAACAAUAACAAGAUUAAUCAAUUAUAUCCACUUGUGAACAUGUGGGGUUUUAAUGUGCUUACCCAAAACUAACUCUAUGUAGACAUCAAAAUAGAAUUUGAACACACCAGUAAUGUGAAAAGGAGAAAUUGAAAAAAAAAAAGAAAGAAAAGGGACAACAAAGACACAAAACAAAUCAUUUCAUUUUUUUCUUCCUAACAUAUUCAUACCUAAUUUUUGAAUUCUCAUUCACGUGUUUAGGGCUUUGAGUUGAUUAUUAUACAUUGUGAUUGUGUUUGAAAUAAUAAGAUUAAAAGUUAGAAUAAUUUGAAACCAAAGUGAAUUUGGAGGGUUUGUUUUGAAUGUGCAGUUAAAAGAAAGGAAAAAACAUUAUUGCACUAAAAGCAUCAUAAAAUAUUCCAAUUCAUCAUAGUUUAUCAAACAAAGAAAGUAGAACAAUGUAGAAGUGAUGAGUUAACAUCGAAUUUCAUUCCAUUUGGGAAAUUAGGUAGAGAAGGAGAACCCUAAAACAAGCAAAAUCCACAAGGGAAAUUGAAGUUCAUUGCAUGGUUGAAGAACAAAACAAAACAUUCCAGAAUGAGAAUACAAUUGGAAUUUGUGGAAAGAGAAGUUUCAUUUUUGUCAACAUGACGAGGAAUAUAUGAAAUAAAAGUGAACCCUAGACACUGAAAUCGGAAAACAAUAAGGUGACGUCGAUGAGGAUGACGAUGAGAAGAUACCUGGUGGAGCACUUGAGGAAGAAGAAGAAGAAGUUAAAAGGAACAGAGUUGGUAGAGAUUGAGACUCAGAAUCGAAGCUUCAACAACUUUUUGAUAAUGGCAGAAGAGAAUAACAAAAAAACAAAAAAAAAAAAAAGUGGUUUGGGGCUUCAAGCCGAAACUAAGGGCCGUGAAAGCAGCUUCCAAAUUGGAUCAAUAUUACAUAAGCCCAAAAGUCCAUGAUGCUCAUGCUCCUAUUUUAAUGUAUGGCCAUUCUAAACAAUAGUUGAAAGUACACAAUAUGCAAAUCAUGUCUACUAAAUUUGGUCUUUCUUUUAUUUCUUUCUAAAAUUGUUUAGUUUUCUCACUCAUUGCCUAUAAUGCCACCUUCCCCUUCUUCUCC
rnacentral:lncRNA from 1 species